GAUGAACGCUGACAGAAUGCUUAACACAUGCAAGUCGAUUCAAUUUACCUUCGGGUAAUGAGGAUGGCGGACGGGUGAGUAACGCGUAAGGAACUUGCCUCUUGGUCUGGGACAACUGUUGGAAACGACAGCUAAUACCGGAUAUUAUGAGAUUCUCGCAUGGGAAACUUAUGAAAGCUAUAUGCGCCAAGAGAGAGCCUUGCGUUCCAUUAGCUAGUUGGUGGGGUAACGGCCCACCAAGGCGACGAUGGAUAGCCGGCCUGAGAGGGUGAACGGCCACAAGGGGACUGAGACACGGCCCUUACUCCUACGGGAGGCAGCAGUGGGGAAUAUUGGACAAUGGGCCACAAGCCUGAUCCAGCAAUUCUGUGUGCACGAUGAAGGUCUUCGGAUUGUAAAGUGCUUUCAGUUGGGAAGAAGAAAGUGACGGUACCAACAGAAGAAGCGACGGCUAAAUACGUGCCAGCCGCCGCAGUAA
rnacentral:rRNA from 1 species